rnacentral:rRNA from 1 species
AAGAAUUUAAAAGUCGAACAGACUUAAAAUUUAAGCGGCUACACCUAAAAUUAUAUCUUAAUCCAACAUCGAGGUCGCAAUCUUUUUUAUCGAUAUGAACUCUCCAAAAAAAUUACGCUGUUAUCCCUAAAGUAACUUGUUUUUUUAAUCGCUAAUAACGGAUCAAUUAUUCAUAAAUUAAUGAUUUAAACAAUUAAAAGUUUAUUAAAUUUUAAUAUCACCCCAAUAAAAUAUCAUCUAUUAUCAUAACAAAAAAAAUCUACAAAAUUAUAAUAAUAUAAAUAUAAAGAUUUAUAGGGUCUUCUCGUCUUUUAAAUAAAUUUUAGCUUUUUGACUAAAAAAUAAAAUUCUAUUAUAAAUUUUUAUGAAACAGUUAAUAUCUCGUCCAACCAUUCAUACCAGCCUUCAAUUAAAAGACUAAUGAUUAUGCUACCUUUGCACAGUUAGUAUACUGCGGCCAUUUAAAAAAAUUCAGUGGGCAGGUCAGACUUUAAAAAAAAAUUCAAAAAGAC